UUGACCGAGCAACGCCGCGUGAACGAUGAAGUAUUUCGGUACGUAAAGUUCUUUUAUUAGGGAAGAAUAAAUGAUGGAAAAAUCAUUCUGACGGUACCUAAUGAAUAAGCCCCGGCUAACUAUGUGCCAGCAGCCGCGGUAAUACAUAGGGGGCAAGCGUUAUCCGGAAUUAUUGGGCGUAAAGGGUGCGUAGGCGGUUAAAUAAGUUUAUGGUCUAAGUGCAAUGCUCAACAUUGUGAUGCUAUAAAAACUGUUUAGCUAGAGUAAGAUAGAGGCAAGUGGAAUUCCAUGUGUAGUGGUAAAAUGCGUAAAUAUAUGGAGGAACACCAGUAGCGAAGGCGGCUUGCUGGGUCUUUACUGACGCUGAGGCACGAAAGCGUGGGGAGCAAACAGGAUUAGAUACCCUGGUAGUCCACGCCGUAAACGAUGAGUACUAAACGUUGGGUAAAACCAGUGUUGAAGUUAACACAUUAAGUACUCCGCCUGAGUAGUACGUACGCAAGUAUGAAACUUAAAGGAAUUGACGGGACUCCGCACAAGCGGUGGAUCAUGUUGUUUAAUUCGAAGGUACCCGAAAAACCUCACCAGGUCUUGACAUGCUUCUGCAAAGCUGUAGAAACACAGUGGAGGUUAUCAGUUGCACAGGUGGUGCAUGGUUGUCGUCAGCUCGUGUCGUGAGAUGUUGGGUUAAGUCCCGCAACGAGCGCAACCCUUAUUGUUAGUUACCAGCACGUAAUGGUGGGGACUUUAGCAAGACUGCCAGUGAUAAAUUGGAGGAAGGUGGGGACGACGUCAAAUCAUCAUGCCCCUUAUGACCUGGGCUACAAACGUGAUACAAUGGCUGU
rnacentral:rRNA from 1 species